rnacentral:tRNA from 1 species
GGCCCGUUGGAGAAGCGGCUUAACUCACCAGCCUUUCACGCUGGCAUUCACGGGUUCGAAUCCCGUACGGGUCACCA